rnacentral:lncRNA from 1 species
AACUAGUUAUUUUCUUAAAACAGUAGGAAGAAGAAAAGCUUUUUGAAUGAAUCACUUCUCAUCUUCUCCGAAGUUGGAAGCAUCAAGAAUCUAAAUAAGCAUUUAUGAUGGCUGGCAUGAAUAUUUCUCUCCUUCAUCGUGCCUAUUUUAUGAACUUGAACAAGGAAGUUGCCACAACAUCUGUGGGCCAGAGAACUAUGCCAGAAUGUUAUUUCCAGAUUGCUUCCUGUAUUUACAAAGGUCUAUAGGUCCACUGAUACGGCUUUGCUACUCUACCCCGACACCCUGAGGACUAAUCUAUUAAUAGUAUGUACUUCUUAUAAUGAUGAGUGAGGCACAAAAGAGGAAGCAGAAACGCGGAAGAUAGAAUGGGAGUCCUAGUUGACCUUCAUAUAAUUUUUAGAAGAUGGAGCACUUCAACUUCUUCCACUCAUGAAAAGAGAGGUGACAGGUGAAGACAGAACAAGAAAACAAACCAAGAAUUUCCCCUCACCAGCCACCAGCUCUGCCAGCAACUUGAUCUUAGACUUCCCAGCCUCCGUAACGUCUUCCUCCUAAAAACCUGUAACCUCAAUCUAAUCAUGAGAAAAGACAUCAGGCAAAUCCCAACUGAGGGAGAUUUUACAUAGUACCUGAGCAGUACUCCUCAAAACUGUCAAGGUCAUCAAAAACAAAGAAGUAUGAAAAACUGUCACAGCCAAGAGGAACUUAAGGAAACAUAAUAAUUAAAGCCUCUGCUUAUAAUCUGUCAUGGAUUGGAAAACUAGAAAAAACAGUUUACAGAGUAUAACAAACUUUGGAGGAGUUAAUCGACUCUAAGUAAAAGAGUAUCUAGCACGGCUGUGGAACAAAGGAGAGACUCACAAACUGUUGAAAGAAUAAAUGAAUGAAUGAAUUCUGUUCAUGAGCUUUAAUAAAACAGCUCUGAGUAGUAACAGUGGAUCAAAUUUAGGCUUCUUGAUGCAGGCAUGGUGUAGAUUACUACUUCUGUAUUGUCCCAGGAGCUCAGCACAUUCCUGCAGAGAUGAUAGGAGCUCAUCUGAUACUUGUCAGCUUUGAAUAAACUCCAGUCCCCAAGAGAGAGAAUGAGAAUCACCGGAAUACGAAACUUCCCUGUUGGACUUCCCAACAUUCUUGAAUGCACCAAGAUAGCCUCUUGCUGUGAGAUUAAUAAAUGAAUAAAUGCCUCCAUAUUUUUCAAA